rnacentral:rRNA from 1 species
AGCAGUCGCCACGGUAAUACGUAGGUCCCGAGCGUUGUCCGGAAUUAUUGGGCGUAAAGGGCUCGCAGGCGGUUUCUUAAGUCUGAUGUGAAAGCCCCCGGCUCAACCGGGGAGGGUCAUUGGAAACUGGGAAACUUGAGUGCAGAAGAGGAGAGUGGAAUUCCACGUGUAGCGGUGAAAUGCGUAGAGAUGUGGAGGAACACCAAUGGCGAAGGCGACUCUCUGGUCAGUAACUGACGCUGAGGAGCGAAAGCGUGGGGAGCGAACAGGAUUAGAUACCCGCGUAGUCCCUGUCUCUUAUAC